rnacentral:lncRNA from 1 species
CCGGAGGGAGGGCGCUGGGGGCGGGAGAGGGGAGGAGGGGUGGGGGUCCUGCCUGAGGGGGGAGCCUGGGCCGCCCCUUGUCGGCCACCCCACUGCCCAGUCCCGCUCCCGGCCGCGGGGGCCGCAGCAGCCGCAGCAGCCGCAGCAGCAGCGGCCCCAGGAUGUCAGGCUGGCUCAUUGGAGCCACGUGCCAAGACAGUACUGUUCCUCAGGUCCUGAAUCUCUCACUACUUCAGGACUCAUGCCUUGAUGGAUGCCAGAGGACAGUUUAGGGACCAGCCUUGGGACAUUUUUGCUGUUUAUGGUACAGAGAUAUUGUUAUAUCUCACAGAUCUGCUCUGUGACCUGCCCACACCAGGAAUCCUUGUUCCUUCUGGGAACUGGUGUUUUGCAAAGUGAGUCUGAUCAUACUUCUCUCUUUAUUUGGUGACUGGGAAGCUCAGAACAAAUUAGGGUCCACUUUUUUCUUUUUAACUCCUCCAGUGCUGGUGAUAGAACCCAGGUCCCUGAGCAUGCCAGGCAGUACUUUACCGGCCCUCGGAUAGACUUAAUGAUAUCAGCAUGCUCUGUGCUACCCCAUGAACCUCAACAAACUAUCUGCCCAUUCCAAAGCUUAUGGGGCGAACGGCUCGCUUUGGAUGGAGCAGAUAGGAGUACCUGCCCAGACUCCAUAACUAUUAC